rnacentral:tRNA from 1 species
GCGCCCGUAGCUCAGUGGAUAGAGUGUUCGGCUCCGAACCGAAAGGUCGCAAGUUCAAUCCUUGCCGGGCGUA